GAUUCUGGCUCAGGAUGAACGCUAGCGGCAGGCUUAACACAUGCAAGUCGAGGGGCAGCGGGAUGUAGCAAUACAUUGCCGGCGACCGGCGGAUGGGUGCGUAACGCGUAUGCAACCUACCUUAUACAGGGGAAUAACCUUUCGAAAGGGAGACUAACACCCCAUAGUAUUGAUUUAAGGCAUCUUAGAUUAAUUAAAUAUUUAUAGGUAUAAGAUGGGCAUGCGUAUGAUUAGCUAGUUGGUAAGGUAACGGCUUACCAAGGCGACGAUCAUUAGGGGUUCUGAGAGGAAGGUCCCCCACACUGGUACUGAGACACGGACCAGACUCCUACGGGAGGCAGCAGUGAGGAAUAUUGGUCAAUGGGCGCAAGCCUGAACCAGCCAUGCCGCGUGCCAGGAAGACGGCCUUAUGGGUUGUAAACUGCUUUUACAUAAGACUAACCGUAUAUUUGCGAAUAUACCUGAAUGUAUUAUGAGAAUAAGGAUCGGCUAACUCCGUGCCAGCCGCAGC
rnacentral:rRNA from 1 species